AGAGUUUGAUCCUGGCUCAGAUUGAACGCUGGCGGCAUGCCUUACACAUGCAAGUCGAACGCGAAAGCGGGGCAACCCGCAAGUAGAGUGGCGAACGGGUGAGUAAUACAUCGGAACAUUUCCAGUAGCGGGGGAUAACCUGUCGAAAGAUAGGCUAAUACCGCAUACGCCCUACGGGGGAAAGCGGAGGACCGCAAGGCUUCGCACUAUUGGAGUGGCCGAUGUCGGAUUAGCUAGUUGGCGGGGUAAAAGCCCACCAAGGCUACGAUCCGUAGCUGGUCUGAGAGGACGAUCAGCCACACUGGAACUGAGACACGGUCCAGACUCCUACGGGAGGCAGCAGUGGGGAAUUUUGGACAAUGGGCGCAAGCCUGAUCCAGCCAUGCCGCGUGAGUGAAGAAGGCCUUCGGGUUGUAAAGCUCUUUCAGCGGGGACGAAAUGGUUCGUGCUAAUACCACGGACUGAUGACGGUACCCGAAGAAGAAGCACCGGCUAACUACGUGCCAGCAGCCGCGGUAAU
rnacentral:rRNA from 1 species